rnacentral:tRNA from 1 species
GGGAGAAUAGCUCAGUUGGUUAGAGCACACCCCUGAUAAGGGUGAGGUCGGAGGUUCAAGUCCUCUUUCUCCCACUA